GACGUAGGGCGCGAGCGUUGUCCGGAUUUAUUGGGCGUAAAGAGCGUGUAGGCGGCCAGGUAGGUCUGCUGUGAAAACUCGAGGCUCAACCUCGAGACGUCGGCGGAAACCAUCUGGCUAGAGUCCGGAAGAGGAGAGUGGAAUUCCUGGUGUAGCGGUGAAAUGCGCAGAUAUCAGGAAGAACACCCGUGGCGAAGGCAGCUCGCUGGAACGGUACUGACGCUGAGGCGCGAAAGCGUGGGGAGCAAACGGG
rnacentral:rRNA from 1 species